GAUGAACGCUGGCGGCGUGCCUAAUACAUGCAAGUCGAGCGAACGGACGAGAAGCUUGCUUCUCUGAUGUUAGCGGCGGACGGGUGAGUAACACGUGGAUAACCUACCUAUAAGACUGGGAUAACUUCGGGAAACCGGAGCUAAUACCGGAUAAUAUUUUGAACCGCAUGGUUCAAAAGUGAAAGACGGUCUUGCUGUCACUUAUACAUGGAUCCGCGCUGCAUUAGCUAGUUGGUAAGGUAACGGCUUACCAAGGCAACGAUGCAUAGCCGACCUGAGAGGGUGAUCGGCCACACUGGAACUGAGACACGGUCCAGACUCCUACGGGAGGCAGCAGUAGGGAAUCUUCCGCAAUGGGCGAAAGCCUGACGGAGCAACGCCGCGUGAGUGAUGAAGGUCUUCGGAUCGUAAAACUCUGUUAUUAGGGAAGAACAUACGUGUAAGUAACUGUGCACAUCUUGACGGUACCUGAUCAGAAAGCCACGGCUAACUACGUG
rnacentral:rRNA from 1 species